GCGGGGGCAGCGGGCGCUCCGGCCGCACAUCGCGCCACAAGGAAGAAGCGGAGCUGGCUCCCCAUCGCUCCCCUCCUUCUUCCCCCAGCGUUUACUGCGAGGUGACCUCGCAGGAGGAAUGGCAGAGCAAUCAACUGGGAAGCCAGAAGAUUCCUAGAGCUCAUCCUGGCCGAUGGGGAGAAUGGACAUGGUUGGUCCUCACUUGGUGUGUCCAACACACAGACUGUUGGAAGAGGUGCUGGAAAAUAGGCACAGAAAACUAACUUUUAGAAUGAGAAGAUGCCAUUCACACAUCUGUGGAUGAGUCUCACCCUGCUUCCUCCCUGCUGUCCUUGUCACCUGCCCCAUGUCCUGCUGGGGACGGGCAGAGCUGCCCCAGGGGUGUCUGACAUGUCCUGCAAGCCAGGUCUGCUGCCUGCACAGUGAGAGGUGUUCUUGGGAGGUCUGAGAGCAGAGCAAGAACACGGUACUCCCUGACCAUCCUCAGCCAGAGCACUCCUCUUAGGCAACUGGGAACUGAUCACCUUCUGCCUGCCGUGCCUUUUGCACUUUUAACUCCUGCUGCACAAUAUUUUGGCUGGGUCACGGAACCUCAGCAAUGUGCCCAGUCAUAAAGUGGUAUCUCAUGUUCAGGUUCUCAGAGAGCUGGUUUCCCACCUGGAUUAUGGCAAAUAAAUUCUGUUAGGCUUAAGAUGACAUUUUCCAUUCUCUAAUAAUUUGUAAUUUUAUUUUUUCUUUUCAGUGAGAGAAAGGGACUAAUCCCUGGUAAUUCUAAUUAACACAACUCUGAUUAUGCAUAAUCAUUCAGUUCAGGGAUUUCUUCCUAGCCCUGAAUCGCUGCUCUCGCUUUUGUUUACAGUCAAGGGAAUAAGUCAGACACAAUACCCAAAGACAAUGUAUUAGUACCAUGCAGAGAACUGUUUAUGGGGUCUUCCAUCAGCAGAGUGUGGUUGCUGGAGUCUCUGGAAGGGGUGGGGGCUGGCAGUGUGCAAAGCUUCCCAGUAGGGAUGGGAAGGGAGCACACAGGGCCAUGGCAUCAGGGUUUUUUCCAGCACAGGCUGACAAAGUGGGCCAGUCUGCCUCGCUGGAAAAACUGUGCUGCAAAUUUUUGCUCUCAGCCUCAAGGAAGUGAGAUUUCCUCGUGGAGACCCAGGGAGACCCACAACUGUGGCUUUGCAAAUGGCACAAAUGAAUGUCCAUAGUCCAAAAUACUUUUGGAUCCUCCUUGUAGAGCCUUCUCCUUCAGCUACUCGUCUUCUGGGAAGCCAAAACCCUCGCACUGAUCUCCUACAUGAGAAUAAAGCUCACAAAACAUCCA
rnacentral:lncRNA from 1 species